CAAGAUUCAUAUGCUUUUAAUAACAUGCAGUGAGUUCAUCACCAUCCAGCUCUGAAAAUAGUUUUUCCCUCUGGGUUGAACUUUUUUUUUUACUCCAAAUGCACUGUAACCGAUUUCUGUAAUUUGAACAGUAUUUUACUGUAUUAUGUACAGUAAGAUACUGUAAAAUGUAUAUACAGUAUUUUACUGUAAACUGCAAAGGAUUAUGGGAAAAUGUAUGGUCACUACAGUAAACUACUGUAAAUUUACAGUAGUGAACUUGCCCGCGAAAAACUGACCAAUGGCAAGGGAGAUUUAUUUUGUUUGCUGUUUGGUGGAAGCAGCGGUAAAAGGACAAAAGAGACACUUUGCACUGUUAACUAGACAAAAAGGUUAGUAGGCAUAUAUUAUUUCUGUUUUAUGCAAAACUGAGAUAUUUUAAGAUGUUUUAACUUAUUAAAAGCAAACUGACAUUAUUCAUCGUGCCGUUUUUCAUGUCGGGAGUUGGGGCCUUUUUUUCUGACUGAUGGCCGGAUUAACGCCGCCAUAACGGUGAUAACAUCGACUGGUGAGUACAUUAAUUUCACCUAUAUUAGUCAAAAUAAACCUUAUUAAACCGAGAAACACGUUUGUAGGUUUGGCUGCCCUUUGAUGCAAGUUAGUUAAUCUGGCCAGUCGUUACUUAACCUUAACAACGAACUAAUGUGAAAUAACGUUACUGAGGUAAAGUGCGUACACAACACCACUGUUUCAAUUCAGUGGAGAUUUUAAACAGUAUUUUCAAGUAAUUCUUUUGUUUGUUGUUUUCAAAUUUCUAGUCUAGAUUUCGUCGACAACGUCGGAGGUGUAUUUUGGCGCCUCUUCUUGUGACUGGCAUAGUUUCGAUGAUAACAUCAACUGGUAAGUUAAUAAUGUCAGUUAGCCGAAGUUAACGAACACAGAGAAGCAUAAUAUCUUCUGUAGCCUACACUGCCUCUUUAUCGCAAGUGUAAUUCUCUUCAAAUGCUAUUUAAGUUAAAAACGUGUUUACCAGUGUUGUAUGUAACUUUAGAGACGGUUCCUAUUCAGUGAGAGACGUAAAAUAAAACCGCGAGCUAACAUGAAAUACUGAGGAAAACUGAGUUAAGAAAUACCACUGUAAAGUACAUCUUUUGUAUUUUAUUUUCAAGUUUGUGGUCUUGUGGUCAUGUCUUCUGCAUCGGAGGAGUAUUGGAGUCUUUUCCUGUGAUUGCCGUCGUAACAACAGGAGAUUUCUUCAAGCAAAAACAGGAUCCUGAAUAUGAGGGCAGAAUCAUCAUACAGCCAGCUGUCCGUUUUACAGAAAUGCAGAAUUAGGUUCAUUCAGAUCUUUGUGGCACCAAAUGCAUUGAAAGUCACAGGUCAGCUGGAAUUCUGGAAAGAGGGUGCAAAGAAAAAGGAUCUGCCUGAAUCCCAUCCUGCUGUUUCUCAUCGGAGAGCUUGUCAACUUUGACUGUCAAAAUGACUGAAAUUUAACACAACACAAACUCAUUUUUACUGUAUUAUUUGAUUUUAUUAACACUACCAGUCAAAAGUUUUUGAACAGUAAGAUUUUUAAUGUCUUCUGCUUACCAAG